CACCCACGUACACCACUGGAUCUGUGCCCAGCGAUCCCCUGUUCGCUUCGGCGAAUUCAGGGUUGAUUGCUGCGGCAGUUCGAUUUAUCCAAGGAGCCAUCAAAUCCCCAUGAUGUCAAUCUUCCAAUCGACAGGUCCUAGAGCAAUCGGGGGUUGGGAAGCCAGGUUCGCCGUAACAGGCUUGAGCCUGGUCGAACAGCCCUAUGAAGACGCCAUAUUCCACACCUUUUUUCCGAGAUCGUCGAUCCAUGAGGUUGGGGAUAACCAUGGCUUUUGCCUACAGUU
rfam:Valsa mali strain 03-8 chromosome 1, whole genome shotgun sequence.